AGAGAGAGAGAGACAGAGAGAGAGACAGAGAGAGAGAGACAGAGAGAGAGAGACAGAGAGAGAGACAGAGAGAGAGACAGAGACAGAGACAGAGAGAGAGACAGAGAGAGAGAAACAGACAGAGACAGAAAUAAUGAAGUCAUUGUUAAAGACAGAGAGAGGGGGGUGAGGUAGUCAUUGAGACUGAGAGAGGGGGGUGAUGAGGUAGUCAUUGAGACGGAGAGAGGGGGGUGAGGUAGUCAUUGAGACGGAGAGAGGGGGGUUGAUGAGGUAGUCAUUGAGACGGAGAGAGUGGGGGUGAUGAGGUAGUCAUUGUUAAAGACAGAGAGAGAGAGGGGGUGAUGAGGUAGUCAUUGAGACAGAGAGAGAGAGAGGGGGGUGAUGAGGUAGUCAUUGUUAAAGACAGAGAGAGAGGGGGUGAUGAGGUCAUUGUCAAAGACAGAUCAGUCUGUGCUGCAUUAUUAAUCCAUAUGGAUAUUUAAAGAACCUCUACAUCCUGAAGGAGCUCAUCUGUUACUGUCUUCUCACUGAGGUGAAUAGGUAGAGACACAUUUAAC
ensembl:lncRNA